UUAGGUCUAAGAUAAAGAAAAGCUUAUCUAUCUGCAGGAUCUAGGCUUAGGCUACUAAGGAGUCAGGGCCACCAUUAAAGUGUGGUGGGUUAAGUUUCCUAAACUCCGCUAUGUUGUGAGAGAUAGACCUCUCAGUUGUUUGGUAUUUCGGGGUAGGGUGUUGAAAAGGGUUGGCUUAGUUUUAUCUUACAACUGUAGCUAAUUCUUGGAUAGCUUGGAAGAGUUCGGUAAACUUGGCCCUGGUCGGAUGAUCCUAGGAAUCGAGUCUCUCGAUACGUUCUACGGAAGGUCUCCCUCACGUCAUUCUUAUAAAAGAAAGGAAGACACGAGUUAGUGGUCUAAUUCAGAAAAGAUGACUUAUUUUCCACGAUAUCCUAAGGGUCUUUCUAA
rnacentral:lncRNA from 1 species